rnacentral:lncRNA from 13 species
AUGGGGAUCCUAAUAAAUCGAAUCCAAAUCCAAAGUAUUCCCUUUUUAUUACCCUCCAAGCUCUCCAUGGUUGUUUCCCCCCAUUUUUCAUACUCUUGUCUGCUUGGUUUCAGUUUCAUCAGGGCACUUGAAUAUGAGUCAGUUGCACCACAUACUCUUCUCAUUGGGGAUGACCUUACAGGAGGAGGACAGAGGGCAUCGACUGACUCGGCUGCUGCAGUUGGUCACGAGCCCAUAUUUACAGACCUUUUUACAAGGGAAAGUACCUUCCUUUCCUGCUCGCAUUACAUUACUAACAAUCCAGUGAGGAGGAAGGUGAGAGCUGCAUUCCUGCCCUGUGGAGGUGAGGUCCAUGGGAGGAAAGAUCUACUGCUCCAUUUGAUGAAUCCAUCUGAAGUCCCGAACGCUGUGCCAAAACCACAGUGA